CGGCGCCGGCUGCGCCGCCGAGGCGACCGCGAGCACAAAGAACGUCGCCGACACCGCCAAGCUCAUCCUCGUCAUGGCUGCAUGCAACGCUGCUACUUAUGUGAGGAUUUAGGCGAUCAGGCAGCCGCAUCGCUCUACAGCAGACAAUUAAUUAAGCCUAUUGUUUGAUGCCUAAGCCGUCAUGCUCUACUACAUGAACCAAACUGCAGCACGAUAUUAACAUCACACCCCGGCACAAGAACCCCGUCUGCAUCAGAUCCUGACGUGACCUGCGACUUGCUGCUGUUCAUUGCAGCGCGACACAAUCUGGUGGCACGUCAGGUUCGCCCAUUGGCCGUUGGUGAGACAUUUUGCUCUCGUUUUCGCGCAUCAUUCGUUCGUUCAUCCAUCCAUGCAUGUGUGUGUCUGUGUCUCGCUCUGAAACCUGGUUUUAGUGCAUCUUUGUCAUGGUACAGCAGUAGGGAUUUAAUUAAUAAGGCUAUCCGCACUCAUGGAACCCUAAAUUUCUACUCUAAAAGAAUAUUUCAUCCUGGUCAGCGAGAUUCUCUACUCUAUCCUAUAAUACUCCGCGUUCAUAUUUAACCCUAAAUAUCUAUCCUAUACCAACUACCACAUAUUCUAUCAUUUUUUUCCACACUUUUUUAUUCCCACCCACAUGCAUGCGGCUCCGUGGCGCGCAGGCCGUUGUGCAUGUGGAGGAGAGAGAAGCAAUAGGGAGAGACGUUUUACUGCAAACGGCGACUGCAUGCUUGAGGUGAGAGAGAGCCUCCCCUAUCGCAGGGAGAGGGAUGCAGUCCCUCGCUGCAGGGCAUUUUACUGUAAACGGCGACUGCAUCCGCGCUUCCAGUUCGUGAGUGCAGAUAGCCUAAGCAUCAUCCGUUACAACAUCGGUUUCGAACAAGAUGGUGGCACUGACAGGAGCUACACGGAUCAUUUGCGCUUGCUAGAUGCUGCCGCUGCUUUCGAUGGUGAAGGACACCGGCGGUUGCCCUAACGGCGGGCUAUUUGCUUCGGAUUAAAGAUAGUUGUUUAGACUACUGCAACUCUAUAUAGUGCACUCUAUAUAGUGCACAUGAAGAGUGUCUGGCACGAUCGCUUCAACUAAUCGGUUUGCCUUUUUUAUGGUGACGUCUUAUCCUCUGGCCCCCUCCCUGUGUGCCUGUGUGGGCCGCGUGUGUUGAUCAAGUUAUAAAUACUUCCGAAUUGUGAGAGAGAUGUUUAAUGUAGAGGCUCUUAUGACGUUUAAAGAGGUUAUUUACAAAAAAAUCGUGGAGUCCUCUCCGAGAAGAGAUGUCUCUGGCUCGUAACCCAAUAACAACAGACGUCUUACUUCACACUGUACGAAUUUGUCGUCUGUUCUAUCGAUCCGAUGUUGUAUAAACGUAUUUACUUGUGUAUUUAUUAAUAGACUAAAUUUAUAGACACUAUAUUGUAUAAUAGAGUCUCUUAGUUGUGUCUUGUGUUUAGAGAACCAUUUUGGUGUCUCUCCAUUGUACAUGUCCCUUGUACGCUCAUUAUGUAUGUUGGAGAUGCUCCAAUUUCAACGCAAAUGUUGGGGUGGGUGAUGGGUCAUACAUUCACAUCAUACAUACAUGUAAUGAUUAAUUAUCUGGUUGGCUUCUGUUGACUUCU